GAAAAUAACUUAGUGGCGAACGGGUGAGUAACGCGUGAGUAACCUGCCCUGGAGUGGGGGACAACAGUUGGAAACGACUGCUAAUACCGCAUAAGCCCACGAUCCGGCAUCGGAUUGAGGGAAAAGGAUUUAUUCGCUUCAGGAUGGACUCGCGUCCAAUUAGCUAGUUGGUGAGGUAACGGCCCACCAAGGCGACGAUUGGUAGCCGGACUGAGAGGUUGAACGGCCACAUUGGGACUGAGACACGGCCCAGACUCCUACGGGAGGCAGCAGUGGGGGAUAUUGCACAAUGGGGGAAACCCUGAUGCAGCGACGCCGCGUGGAGGAAGAAGGUUUUCGGAUUGUAAACUCCUGUCGUUAGGGACGAUAAUGACGGUACCUAACAAGAAAGCACCGGCUAACUACGUGCCAGCAGCCGCGGUAAAACGUAGGGUGCAAGCGUUGUCCGGAAUUACUGGGUGUAAAGGGAGCGCAGGCGGACCAGCAAGUUGGAAGUGAAAACUAUGGGCUCAACCCAUAAAUUGCUUUCAAAACUGCUGGCCUUGAGUAGUGCAGAGGUAGGUGGAAUUCCCGGUGUAGCGGUGGAAUGCGUAGAUAUCGGGAGGAACACCAGUGGCGAAGGCGACCUACUGGGCACCAACUGACGCUGAGGCUCGAAAGCAUGGGUAGCAAACAGGAUUAGAUACCCUGGUAGUCCAUGCCGUAAACGAUGAUUACUAGGUGUUGGAGGAUUGACCCCUUCAGUGCCGCAAUUAACACAAUAAGUAAUCCACCUGGGGAGUACGACCGCAAGGUUGAAACUCAAAGGAAUUGACGGGGGCCCGCACAAGCAGUGGAGUAUGUGGUUUAAUUCGAAGCAACGCGAAGAACCUUACCAGGUCUUGACAUCCGAUGCAUAGUGCAGAGAUGCAUGAAGUCCUUCGGGACAUCGAGACAGGUGGUGCAUGGUUGUCGUCAGCUCGUGUCGUGAGAUGUUGGGUUAAGUCCCGCAACGAGCGCAACCCUUAUUGCCAGUUACUACGUAAGAGGACUCUGGCGAGACUGCCGUUGACAAAACGGAGGAAGGUGGGGAUGACGUCAAAUCAUCAUGCCCUUUAUGACCUGGGCUACACACGUACUACAAUGGCGUUUAACAAAGAGAAGCAAGACCGCGAGGUGGAGCAAAACUCAAAAACAACGUCUCAGUUCAGAUUGCAGGCUGCAACUCGCCUGCAUGAAGUCGGAAUUGCUAGUAAUCGCGGAUCAGCAUGCCGCGGUGAAUACGUUCCCGGGCCU
rnacentral:rRNA from 1 species